CUUAUCACUGACAUCGUUCAUCACACAUCAGCCAUUAUUAGACAUUGAGUUUAUCCAACAACUCUGAUAUAGUGGAAAAGUUCAUAAAGGAGCACCCCCCUAAAGCAACGAGGACAAGGAUUGUUUUUUGUUGCGCCUGGAGGGAAGCCAAGUGUGGCAGAAUGGGAGGUCCCUUUCAGGACCGUACUGAGAGAAACCAGUCUAAAUAAACAAGAUGAAGAUUUUAUAUGUUGACAUGGGAGACACUGACUGCUUUCCCCGCGGGUCCGUGUUUUGCGCGUCUUGGCGCGUUGACAACGUAACACCAGGACACGUCUCACUCACAUGUAACCACUGAUGUCAUGACACAUCAAUUCCGCAUCACGUUGCUGCCAUGUCUACCUCUAUCCCCAAGCAAUUCAUUUUCUCACCUUGGUUAACCCCUCGGGUUAACACCUCGGCACGACUCUGACACUCCUAUUAACCAGAACGAGGAAUUAAGGUUUUCAUUUCACCUGUAAGGUGACCUUUACACCGACAGCGAUAACAGCAUACUGAAUCCUUACCAGCGGUGUCUGGCCACCAACUUACCUGCUGCUGGUGGGUAGCCACGUCUUCUGGGACACCCCCCCUCCUCUUCCUGGUUCUAUCCCAGAUCCAGGUAAGCUGGUCAAGGUGUCAGUGCAUCCAGCAACUCAGCAGAACUCCAGCACAGCCUGUUACAGUUGGUUCCGAGAGCGCGCACGCGAGACAGAGAGCGAUUUCUCAGAGCUUUCCCUCUUUCAGAAUGCUUACCUAACUGUCUCCACCGUCUUUCAAGUUAUGUCCUGGCCGCUCGAUUCUUCCAGGAGCCUCAAAAGCAGCACCUGGCCCCUGGUCCUUCAGCCGAGGGGGGCAUAGUCCAAUCAGAGAGCGUCAUAGCUGUGGGAGGGGACUGGAGGGCAGAGGAGAGGGCUACUGCGCCAAACAACAAAGAAUAAUAAAAAGAAAUCUGUGUGAGAGUGAAAAAAAAAACAGGUCCAAGAAGUCCCUCGAACCACUGAAACUCCACACGGAGAAGGAAAUAAAAAGGAGCAAAAGAAUGCUGGUCGGAUUCCUGUAGCGCCUGUGG
ensembl:lncRNA